rnacentral:tRNA from 1 species
AGGGUUGUAGCUCAGUGAUAGAGCACCUGCCUACCAUGCAUGAGGGCCUAGAUUCAAUCCCUAGUACCACAA